GAUGAAGAACGUAGCGAAAUGCGAUAAGUAAUGUGAAUUGCAGAAUUCAGUGAAUCAUCGAAUCUUUGAACGCACCUUGCGCCCUUUGGCUAUUCCGAAGGGCAUGCCUGUUUGAGUAUCGUGAACACCUCAACUCUCAUGGUUUGCCAUGAUGAGCUUGGACUUUGGGGGUUUUGCUGGCCUUUGGUCGGCUCCUCUCAAACGGAUCAGCUUUCCAGUGUUUGGUGGCGUCACGGGUGUGAUAACUAUCUACGCCUGUGGUUUUCUGCCAGAUAACCUUCAGCGAUGGAGGUUCGCUGGGGCUCAUAAAUGUCUCUCUUCAGUGGAGAUAGCUUUUUGGACGUUUGAUCUCAAAUCAGGUAGGACUACCCGCUGAACUUAAGCAUAUCAAUAAGCGGAGGA
rnacentral:misc_RNA from 1 species